UACGUAGGGUGCGAGCGUUGUCCGGAAUUAUUGGGCGUAAAGAGCUCGUAGGCGGUGUGUCGCGUCGGUCGUGAAAACUUGGGGCUUAACCCUGAGCUUGCGGUCGAUACGGGCAUCACUGGAGUUCGGCAGGGGAGACUGGAAUUCCUGGUGUAGCGGUGGAAUGCGCAGAUAUCAGGAGGAACACCGAUGGCGAAGGCAGUUCUCUGGGCCGUAACUGACGCUGAGGAGCGAAAGCGUGGGGAGCGAACAGGA
rnacentral:rRNA from 1 species